rnacentral:rRNA from 1 species
AUUGAACGCUGGCGGCAUGCCUAACACAUGCAAGUCGAACGGUAACAGGCCCUUCGGGGUGCUGACGAGUGGCGGACGGGUGAGUAACGCUUAGGAAUCUACCUAGUAGUGGGGGAUAACCCGGGGAAACUCGGGCUAAUACCGCGUACGCCCUACGGGGGAAAGGCGGGGGACGUUUCGGCCGUCGCGCUAUUAGAUGAGCCUAAGUCCGAUUAGCUAGUUGGUAGGGUAAUGGCCUACCAAGGCGACGAUCGGUAGCNGGUC